UUCAUUCAUUACCAAAGAGAUAGAGAGUAGUUGGGUUUUUUAGUUUGUAUACUUUUGUUGCAUUAAAAGGAAAACCCCUUUUCCAUGAAAUGUAGAAUUUGGUGAAGAAUCCAAUACCGUUUUGGUCAACAAUGAAUCGUUGCGUCGUGGUAGCUUCUUAUGUCUCAUUGUUGUUUUGGUUGAAUGAUUUCUUAUAUGAGGAAUGCUGGAAUACCUGCUCAUGAUUAGUAAGUCAAUAGUUCCAUCAAGGUGUUCCAGCAUUUUACUUGCCUGCAACAAUGGAGAAUGGAUGUUGUUCCACCACGGGACUGAAACCAGAGAUUGUUUAGGUAAAUUCCCCAUCUUAUUCAAUUUUACAGUAUUAGGUAAGUUAUAUAAAAUAUAAAAAAAAUCUCAUAAAAGAAAUUAAUAAUUACAUUUUUUUACAAAUCUUUAAAAAUAUAGUAACAUAACUUAUUACUGUUCCAAAGUCUUUUAAAUAAGGUAUGGUUACAAAUUCAGAACAAGCAAGCAGAGUAAAACAGUGUUAUGGAACAACAAUAACAAUGAAUUUUGGUAAGUCUCAACAAAUUAAUGGUGCAGAAAAAACAAAUCAUGAACUUGACGAAACUAAAACACACACAAUCCAGAAGCUGAGCUGAAUCUAGAGGAUGUCAGUGACCAAAGCCCAAGCAGGGUAAACCAACAGAAUAAUUAUGCCAAUUGUGUUGGAUAUUCCAUUGGCUUUGGUGAA
rnacentral:lncRNA from 1 species